UACGGAGGGUGCGAGCGUUGUCCGGAAUCACUGGGCGUAAAGGGCGCGUAGGCGGCUCAUGAAGGCUGUGGUGAAAGCUCGGGGCUCAACCCCGAGUCGGCCGUGCGAACUACUGGGCUGGAGCACUGUAGAGGCAGGCGGAAUUCCGGGUGUAGCAGUGAAAUGCGUAGAGAUGUGGAGGAACACCGAUGGCGAAGGCAGCCCCCUGGGUUAACACUGACGCUCAGGCACGAAGCGUGGGGAGCAAACAGG
rnacentral:rRNA from 1 species